UGGGGAAUAUUGGACAAUGGGGGGAACCCUGAUCCAGCCAUGCCGCGUGUGUGAAGAAGGCCUUAUGGUUGUAAAGCACUUUAAGCGAGGAGGAGGGUACUGGUAUUAAUACUACCAGGUACUGGACGUUACUCGCAGAAUAAGCACCGGCUAACUCUGUGCCAGCAGCCGCGGUAAUACAGAGGGUGCGAGCGUUAAUCGGAUUUACUGGGCGUAAAGCGUGCGUAGGCGGCUAAUUGAGUCGGAUGUGAAAUCCCCGAGCUUAACUUGGGAAUUGCAUUCGAUACUGGUUAGCUAGAGUGUGGGAGAGGAUGGUAGAAUUCCAGGUGUAGCGGAGAAAUGCGUAGAGAUCUGGAGGAAUACCGAUGGCGAAGGCAGCCAUCUGGCCUAACACUGACGCUGAGGUACGAAAGCAUGGGGAGCAAACAGG
rnacentral:rRNA from 1 species